UGCCAGACUCCUACGGGAGGCAGCAGUGGGGAAUAUUGCACAAUGGGGGAAACCCUGAUGCAGCGACGCCGCGUGAGUGAAGAAGUAAUUCGUUAUGUAAAGCUCUAUCAGCAGGGAAGAAAAUGACGGUACCUGAGUAAGAAGCCCCGGCUAACUACGUGCCAGCAGCCGCGGUAAUACGUAGGGGGCAAGCGUUAUCCGGAUUUACUGGGUGUAAAGGGAGCGUAGACGGCAGUGCAAGUCUGGAGUGAAAGGCGGAGGCUCAACCCCCGGACUGCUCUGGAAACUGUACGGCUGGAGUGCAGGAGGGGCAGGCGGAAUUCCUGGUGUAGCGGUGAAAUGCGUAGAUAUCAGGAGGAACACCGGUGGCGAAGGCGGCCUGCUGGACUGCAACUGACGUUGAGGCCCGAAAGCGUGGGGAGCAAACAGGAUUAGAUACCCUAGUA
rnacentral:rRNA from 1 species